rnacentral:rRNA from 1 species
GACGAACGCUGGCGGCGUGCUUAACACAUGCAAGUCGAACGGUGAAGCCUUUCGGGUGGAUCGGUGGCGAACGGGUGAGUAACACGUGAGCAAUCUGCCCUUGACUCUGGGAUAACUUCGGGAACCGGAGCUAAUACCGGAUAUGACGCAUGGCCGCAUGGUCUGUGUGUGGAAAGAUUUAUUGGUCAGGGAUGAGCUCGCGGCCUAUCAGCUUGUUGGUGGGGUAAUGGCCUACCAAGGCGACGACGGGUAGCCGGCCUGAGAGGGCGACCGGCCACACUGGGACUGAGACACGGCCCAGACUCCUACGGGAGGGCAGCAGUGGGGAAUAUUGCGCAAUGGGCGGAAGCCUGACGCAGCGACGCCGCGUGAGGGAUGAAGGCCUUCGGGUCGUAAACCUCUUUCAGCAGGGAAGAAGCGAG